AUACGAAGGGGGCUAGCGUUGUUCGGAAUCACUGGGCGUAAAGCGCGCGUAGGUGGAUCAAUUGGUUGAGGGUGAAAUCCCGGGGCUCAACCUCGGAACUGCCUUCAAUACUGUUGAUCUUGAGACCGAGAGAGGUGAGUGGAAUUCCUAGUGUAGAGGUGAAAUUCGUAGAUAUUAGGAAGAACACCAGUGGCGAAGGCGGCUCACUGGCUCGGUACUGACGCUGAGGUGCGAAAGCGUGGGGAGCAAACAGGAUUAGAAACCCUAGUAGUCC
rnacentral:rRNA from 1 species